AAAUAAUAGCCCAUGAACAAAACAUACAAAGUUCCUUUCAUCAAUGCCUGCUCAUUCUUUAUUUCUCUUGUUCCUUCUCCUUAGUGCUACCCAUCCAUGUCCCCUGAUCCUAACAGAGGCCGCCGGUGGCAGGUGGCAACUUCUGCAGAAAAGUAUUGGCAUAACAGCUAUGCACAUGCAGCUCCUCAACAAUGACCGUGUAGUAAUCUAUGAUCGAACAGACUUUGGCCGCUCAAAUCUAUCUCUACCAGAAGAAAAGUGCCGGCAUGAUCCUAACGAGCUCGUGCUCAAAACUGAUUGCACUGCUCACUCGGCGGAGUAUGAUGUUUUGAACAACACAUUUCGGCCUCUUAUGGUCCUCACCGACGUUUGGUGUUCUUCCGGUGCUGUAAUGUCCAAUGGGAGCCUGAUUCAAACAGGUGGUUUCAAUGACGGUGAUCGUAGGAUCAGAGUUUUCACGCCAUGCAGUGACUGCGAUUGGGUAGAGGUGGGAGAUGGGCUUAUUGCAAGAAGAUGGUAUGCGACCAACCAUAUAUUGCCAGAUGGUAGUCAAAUUAUUAUCGGUGGGAGAAAGCAAUUCAACUACGAAUUUUAUCCUAAAAAUGGUGCUCCAAAUUUGUAUAAUUUGCCAUUUCUUGUUCAGACUAAUGAUCCUGGUAUCGAGAAUAAUCUUUACCCAUUUGUUUUUCUCCAUAUUGAUGGUAAUUUGUUCAUUUUCGCAAAUAAUCGAGCGAUAUUGUUCGAUUACAAGGGCGGUAAGGUGGUGAAAACUUACCCAACAAUCCCUGGAGGUGACCCACGGAGCUAUCCAAGCACAGGUUCUGCGGUCUUGCUUCCAUUGAAGAACUUGCAAGGAACAGAACUUGAGGCUGAAGUUUUGGUUUGCGGGGGUGCACCAAAAGGUUCCUAUAUCCAGGCCACAAAAGGUGACUUCGUUAAAGCAUUAGAUACCUGUGGGCGGAUCAAGAUAACCGAUUCGAAUCCACAAUGGGCCAUGGAGAGCAUGCCUUAUGCCAGAGUCAUGGGUGACAUGAUACUGCUUCCAAACGGCAACGUUUUGAUCGUCAACGGUGCUGGAGCUGGUUCUGCUGGAUGGGAAUUGGGGCGGAACCCAGCAUUGAACCCAGUCAUAUACAGACCCGAUGGGAAAGCUGGCUCAAGAUUCGAGUCACAAAACCCAACCACCAUUCCAAGAAUGUAUCAUUCCACAGCAAUUUUGCUGAGGGAUGGAAGGGUUCUUGUUGGUGGCAGCAACCCUCACGUAGACUACAACUUCACAACACCCUUGUUUCCAACUGAAUUAAGGUUAGAGGCAUUUUCUCCUCCAUAUUUGGAUACAGAAAAUAACAAUUUGAGGCCAAAAAUUGUGUCUCCAUCAUCCAAAGCUACAAUUGGGUACGCAAAGAAACUAGUAGUCCGGUUCCAGGUGGGAGGCACACUAGCUGAGAAACUGGUGUCGGUGACAAUGGUGUCACCUUCAUUUACAACACAUUCCUUCUCUAUGAACCACAGAUUGUUAUUUCUUGGGAACGAGAAAGUGACAAAUGCAGGAACGGCGACGUAUGACAUUCAGGUGACCACCCCACCUUCGAAAAACCUUGCGCCGUCGGGAUAUUACCUGUUAUUUGUUGUUCAUCAGGAUAUUCCAAGCGAAGGCAUUUGGGUCCAAAUAAGGUGAUAUUUUGCAUCUGUUAUACAUAUAAUUUUCCUACACGUAUAUUAUUUGUAACCAAAUAAAUUAGUUCCUGUACACUUAUGUAGGUAAUUGUAAUUAUCGUUACAUAGCAUUGGGUUAUGAAGAUUGUAAUUAGUUAAUAAACAAAUAAA
rnacentral:misc_RNA from 1 species